rnacentral:rRNA from 1 species
UCGAAGGUAGCAUAAUCAGUAGUCUUUUAAUUGAAGGCUGGUAUGAAUGGUUGGAUGAAAUAUUAACUGUUUCAUUUAAAUUUUUUUUAGAAUUUUAUUUUUUAGUUAAAAAGCUAAAAUGUUGUUAAAAGACGAGAAGACCCUAUAAAUCUUUAUAUUUUAGGUGUAUUAAUUAUAUUGAUUUAUUUAAUUAUUAUAAUUAAAAGUAUUUUAUUGGGGUGAUAUUAAAAUUUAAAAAACUUUUAAUUUAAAAUUUACAUAAAUUAAUGAAUAAAUGAUCCAUUAUUAAUGAUUAAUAAUUUAAGUUACUUUAGGGAUAACAGCGUAAUUUUUUUGGAGAGUUCAUAUUGAUAAAAAAGAUUGCGACCUCGAUGUUGGAUUAA